UGCGGAAUUUUAGAUAAUGGAGGGAACUCUGAUCUAGCGACGCCGCGUGCAGGAAGAAGGUCUUCGGAUUGUAAACUGCUGUGGUAAGGGAAAAAUGCUAUGUAGAGUGGAAAGCUACAUAGAGGGAUGGUACCUUACUAGAAAGCCCCGGCUAACUACGUGCCAGCAGCCGCGGUAAUACGUAGGGGGCGAGCGUUACCCGGAAUCACUGGGCGUAAAGGGAGCGUAGGUGGCCUAACGUGUCAACUGUGAAAACCCGGAGCUCAACUCCGGACUUGCAGUUGAAACUGGUAGGCUUGAGGACGGUAGAGGAAGACGGAACUGCCAGUGUAGGGGUAAAAUCCUUAGAUAUUGGCAGGAACGCCGGUGACGAAGGGGGUUUUCUGGGCCGGUUCUGACACUGAGGCUCGAAAGCCAGGGGAGCGAACGG
rnacentral:rRNA from 1 species